rnacentral:rRNA from 1 species
UUAAAAGAUAAAACAGCAUGUCUAAGUACAUGGAGUACACGAACCGCGCAAAGCUCAUUACACAGCUAAAUCUUACGGUGAGAUACCAUAAAUGGAUUCUGCGGUAAAUCUGGAGCUAAUACAUGCAAUGAAAGACAUAUAAUUAUGCUGUACAAUUGCAGUUAUUAGAUUAAACCAAUGGGCUUUGCCCAUAUAUGUUAAUCUAGAUAAUGCGUUACAUACAGAUAAUUCUGAUGGAUGCGUAUUGUAUCUGCCUAUCAACUAAUUAACGUUUAUUGACGGUUAUGGUUUUGCGGGUAACGGAGAAUAGGGGUCGUCUCCGGAGAGAAUGGCCUUAAAACCGGUUUCACAUCCCAAGAAGGCAGCAGGGGGGAAAAUUUCCCCCUUUCAGUGGGAGGAGGUAGGGACGGGAAAAGACCAGUUCCCUUUUUUAUUGGAUGGAACCUUGGAAUGGUUUAAUUUUAAAUUCCUUAAAGAUUAUCAAAGAGAGGGCCAGUUUGGUGCCAGCCACCGCGGUAAUUCCAGGUUUCAUUCUGCCUUGAAUUGGUGUUGCGGUUAAAAAAUUUGUAAUUGCAAGGGUUCGGAGGGGGAUGGUUCAAUUUUUUGGUGAUACUACUCCUUCUGUUAAAGGGUUAUAUGGUUGAUACCCGUAUACUCUAGUUACUUUGAGUAAAUCAGAGUGCUUAGAACAAGCGUAUUGCUUGAAUGGUUGUGCAUGGAAUAACAAUACAAUGCAUUGAUAUUUGUUUUGUUGGUUUUAAUGUCAAUGAAUGAUUAAAAGGAACAAACGGGGGCAAAAGUAUCAUAAGGCGAGAGGUGAAAUCGUGACCAUGAAGCUAGGG